ACGGGGGGUGCGAGCGUUGUUCGCAAUCACUGGGCGUAAAGCGCGUGUAGGUGGCUGAGUAAGUCAAAUGGGAAACCUUACGGCUUAACCGGGAACCUGCAUUUGAAACUGCCAGUCUAGAGUGCGGAAGAGGGAGGAGGAAUUCCCGGUGUAGGAGUGAAAUCCGGUGAUCCCUGGGGGACCACCAGUGGCGAAGGCGUCCUCCCAGGCCGGCUCCGACACUGAGGCGCGAAAGCUUGGGGAGCAAACAG
rnacentral:rRNA from 1 species